UACAGAGGGUGCAAGCGUUGUUCGGAAUUAUUGGGCGUAAAGCGCGUGUAGGCGGCGUGGCAAGUCGGGUGUGAAAGCCCUCAGCUCAACUGAGGAAGUGCGCCCGAAACUGCUGUGCUUGAGUGCCGGAGAGGGUGGCGGAAUUCCCCAAGUAGAGGUGAAAUUCGUAGAUAUCUGGAGGAAUACCGGUGGCGAAGGCGGCAUCCUGGACCGGCAUUGACGCUGAGGAGCGAAAGCUAGGGGAGCAAACGGG
rnacentral:rRNA from 1 species